CCAUAAACUAUAAAUUAUUACAUAAUUUUUAAAAGAGCUUAUACAAAAAAAAAACAUUUUGAUUUGAUUUCUAAAGUGCAUUUUUAAUCAGGAGUAUUACAUGAAACUUGGAAAGGAUAGAGAGGAUAUGUGAUACUUGUGGGCAGAUCCAUGUGGGAGAUGUUCUUAGCUCAUCAGUUAUCAGAUGUUGUAUAUAUACAGGUGCGGUAGAAAAAAAAGUCUUUUUCCUGGACAAACUAGACCGAAUACUGUUAGAUAGACAUUCACCAGUUUACUCAGUCAUUCUUACAACUGAAUAAUGGCACCUCAAGUUUCAGUCCUGAUUGUUUUUGCUGUUGUUCUUUCUGUUGCUCAGGGCCUGAUUUGUAACUCCUGCCAGAGUAUUGAGAGGAACCAUCCUGUCUGUGACCAAAUGGAGGAGACAGAGUGCAGCAUGGGUCUCACACAGUGCAUCAGGCUCAUAAUGCAUGAACCAGCAUAUGGUGAAGUACGUAGAUGUGCCAGUACCCAGGAAUGUGAGGAGACGGUGCCUUAUAUGGUGGAGAAAGAAUGUUGCGAUACAGACUUCUGCAACUGACUUGGUUUUGCCUCAGAAUCAAUAUGCUCAAUUAUGAUCAGUUCAGUAAAUCAUUCCAGUAAUUUUUUAUAGCAGUAUAAUCCAUGAUAUAAGUUAAUGAUGAAAGAAAUUUAAAUUUAGAAUUUAGAGCAUGGUAAAUUACACAACUGGAUCAAAACAAAAUAUAAUAAUGUGCAUGUCUGCAAAAAAAGAACAGUCAUUUGUCUCAUGUGUUUUCUUCUAACACUGUAAACACACAAAUGUGAAAAAAAAAAAUAAAGGAAGCAAGAAAAGUGCUUGUGUC